CCAAGUUCAGCUUGGGAUAGAAUGUGAAGUUAAGUUGUAAAGUAUGUUGAAGAAUAGUAUUGUCAUGUGUUAGACAGUCAUGAUUGUGUAUAAGUUAAGGUUACUCGAUUUUGGGAAUAGUGUGUAAAGUUUAAUGUAUAAACAAUUUAUGUUUAUACCUUUCGCAACAGUUGUAGAAAUAGCGAACCGGAUCCGCGGCGAUUCGGGACCCGGAUUCGGGGACGCUACAUGUAGAACAUAUAAACACAAGCUAUGAAGAUCAGAUCUAAAC
rnacentral:lncRNA from 1 species